UUUCUGUCAAAGUCUUGGUAAUGGCAUAAGAACUCAAGUUUGACUUAACUUCUGAUCGAAUGUAAUCCACAUCACUCCAAUAACUCUCGUCCAUAAUCUCCACAUUCUUGAUCUUGUUGAAAAAUACGGCGGUAAUACUAGAAGUGUAUACAACUUUCUUCACUGUGUUUGAUCUCAAGCAUGUCUUCAAGAUGCCUAAUGUUCCAUCGAUUGACCUUUGGGUCACAACUGCUUCGGGUUCGUUGUCCUGGAAAUCCAUGGGAGCAGCAACAUGGAAAACUCCUUUGCAUCCCUCGAUGGCAGUACCAAAACUCUCGGGAUCAUUAAGAUCUGCUAACAGUGGUAUGAACAGAGUAACUGAGCUCAAGAAGCAGUUUGAUCAACCAGGAGCCAACGUAACCGUUCCCUCCAGUCACGCAUACUGUUCCUUUAUCUCCUUCCAUAUCUCUUACCUUUCCAGAGGAAUGGGUGGUGUUCUUAAUUAUUGCUUCCGUGGAAUUGUUUGUUUUGACUUUGAAAUGCGAAGUCACGCACAAUAUCCACUCAUGCAUUUUAAUACCAUAAGGAAUUUUAUAUACAUAUGCGUACAUGUCGACUUACCUAUUCAGCCAACAUAUAUUUCUACAUAUUCAAACACAUUUUCUAAUUUCACAUCGCUAACAAUUCAUCGGGAUUAGCAUUCUUAUAAUGUUCAAAAUUAAUAUCUAGUUAAUUAUUUAAUGUCUUAACGUCAAAAUUUGAGAAUUUAAAGAGAAUUUAAAAUGUGAUCCAUUUAGCGCAAUGUUAUUUGAUGGUAUUGAAAAAGUCUCUAUCUAAAUUGAAUUUUUAACGAGGAGAUCUUCUCAUUUCAGGUCGAUCAAGACAAAAAAUAAUAUCCAGUAAGUUGGGGCACAAAAUCUCGAAUUCUCGAAAAUAAGAACGCUUACCUUUUAAAUAUUGCCCAAAUCUUAUAUUUUUAAUUAUUUUUUAUAGAGAGAAGGGACGCUCGAUUAUUUCGGUUCAAGGAAAAAAUCAUAUCUCGUAAGUUAGGGGCACAAUUUCUUGAAUCCUUAAAAUAAAUAAUAUUGCCUUGGUUCAAAUCAUUGCUUAUGCGUUUGCGCAGAAAAAUAGAUGGGUGUAUGUAGCAAUAUUUACAAUGCAGGAUGAUGGCAAAAUUAUGACAUUAAUAAAAUAACAACAUAGUUAAUAAAAUAAAAUGACAAUAAUAUAAUGAGUACAAUAAAAAUGAUGAAAUAAAAAAUAUUAUAUAAUAAUACUAAUAGUGAAAUAAUAUAAAAAUGUAUGAUAAUAAUAUAAUUACAUUCAUAAUAUAAUGAUUUUUGAGCGAAUUUUAACAAAAUUAAUAUUAAUUAAAAACGAUGAUCACUUAAUAAUAUUAAUAAUAUCAUUAAUUAAAAAUAAAGGACCAAAAUAAAAUAAUUGGGAAAUUUGACAGCAAAAAAUUAAAAUACAGCAAGUACAUGGACUUAAUUAAAUGAACAUGGGACUAAAUUGAAAUUGUGAAAAAACCUCAAGUAUAAAUAAAUAAAAACAAUAAAUAAAAGGGUUAAAUAAAAAUAAUAAAAUGUAGGGACAAAAAGAGUAAAUAACCCCAAACCCAGUACAUGUCAUUCCCAAAUGGUCUAUAGUCUAGGGAUUGAACUGAAUAUGUAGCAAAAUUUAAAGCAUAAAUAAUAAAAUAUAUAUAUAAAGGGUCGAAUUAAAAUAAAAUGGAAAAGUGAAAGGCCUUAAAAGGGAAAUUAUCCCAAUCCCACAUCAUUUCCUUGGUUCAACAGUGGGUCCAGGGACCGACUUGCAAGGAGAUUAAAAUAAUGGGGUAAAAAUGAAAUAAAUAAAAAAAGUAUAGGAUAAAAUUUAAAAAAGGGAAAAAAACGGAAGGGUCUAGGAAGCAAUUUUCCCAACCCUUUAAAAAACACGUGGAACCUAGGGCCAUUUGGGUCGGAUCAUCAGAUUAUGCUCGAAAUGACUUCGUUUUGGGUGUCUAAAGCCAAGCUCAAAACAAUGUUUUUUUUAAAGGGCUUUUAUAAGUAAAAAAUUCUAAAAAACAAAUCAUUUGCAACCUUUUAAAAAAACUCUCUCUGACCUCUCUCAUCUCCCCCUUUCUGAUCGGCCAUGGGAUGGUGGGUCUCCUUCGUGGCCACCAGUCAUCGGCGACGUAGACCGUCGCCUCCGGUGGUCGGAGAUCGUCAAAAGACCCAUUUUUUGAUCCUUUCGACUUCCUUAACCCAAAUCCAGGGCUAAAUACCCUUGAAACUUCACCGAGAUUCUUAAAAAACCAAGGGAACCCUUCGGUUUCUCUCCUCCAAAGAAGCCAUCGACGAACCCCGAGGGAUUUGGAGACCCUCCCAAAUCGAAAAAAGACCUUUUAACAGUGAUAAACAGGUAAAGUUCAAGCCUUUAUUUUAUUUUUGUAUGUUUUUCGAAAUAAAAACAGAAAAAAAAAGAUGAACCUUAGUUUUUUUUAACCUUGUUUUUAUAUUUUUUAUACUCUUUACGAAAGAAAAAAAAAGGAAUCAAAAUAGAAGUCUUAAAAAACCACCUUUGCAAUUUGUUUUUUUCUUUGUAUUAUCUGUUAAAUUUCUUCGUAAAAAGGAGAGAAAAAAUUACAAAUUGUUCAUUGGCUUUUUAUAGCCGAAAAUACAAUAUAUUAUUUUUGUCUUCUUUAUUUCUGUCUCUCUGCUUCUAUUUCUCUGUUUUCUAGAAGUGGUGGUGGCAAGGACGAGGCGAUAGUGUCAUGCCUCAGAUUGCACGCCUGCUGACGUGGCGAGGUGAGCGACGGCUGGAGACUUUAUGGGGAGCUAAGGUUUCUGAAAUUUUUUUAAUGUUUUUGGAUUUAGGGCUUAAGUAAAUUAGGAUUUAGGGUUUUGCAUUUGGGCUUGUAAUGGAUUGGACUUUUAAUUAAUCGACUAUUUUUUGGGUUAUUUUUGGGCCAGAUAAAAAUGGACCUCUACAGCUGCCCCUCUUUGCUUAUUGUUGUGUAACGGGAAGGGAGCAAAGACUUUAAAAGAGGACCAAUUUUGUCCAGUCCCGCUGCAUCUCGACUUUCCUGGUGUUUCUCUUUUCCAACUAACCCACUUUUUCAAUUCAUUGGUUACUUUACUUUACUGUACCCAUUUCGCUACAACUUUAGAAAGGAGGGAUUUCAUGUUACAGCUUCAUCUUGCUCCAUUGCAACUUCAAGGAGAUAAAAUUUACUGUUAUAGUUUCAAUCUAUUCUACUACAACUUCAGGGAUAUGAGAUUUUUAGUUUCAUUCGAAACUACUACAACUUCAGGGGUAUAAGAUUUGUAGCUUCAUCUUGCUCUACUACAACUUCAAGGAGAUAAGAUUUGCUAUGGUAGCUUCAAUUCGAUCCACUGCAUCUUCAGAGAUAUAGGAUUUGUAGCUUCAUCUUGCUUCAUUGUAUCUUCAAGGAGAUCAGAUUUGAUAUUAUAACUUUGAUCCGAUCCACUGCAUAUUUAGGGAUAUAGGAUUUAUAGCUUCAUCUUGCUCUACUACAACUUCAAAGAUAUAAGACUUGUAGCUUCAUCUUACUCCACUGCAGCCUCAGGGAGAUAAGAUUCGCCAUUGUAACUUUGAUCUGAUCCAUUACAUAUUCAAGGAUAUAGAAUUUGUAGCUUCAUCUUGCUCUACUGCAACUUCAGGGGAGAUAAGAUUUGAUAUUAUAAUUUUGAUCUGAUCUACUGCAUCUUUAGGGAUAAAUGAUUUAUAGUUUUAUCUUGCUACACUGCAACUUUAGGGAGAUAAGAUUUGUAGUUUCAUCUUACUCCACUGCAACUUUAGGGAGAUAAAAUUCGCCAUUAUAACUUUGAUCCGAUCCACUGCAUCUUCAGGGAGAUAAAAUUUUCCAUUAUAACUUUGAUCCGAUCCACUGCAUCUUCAGCGAUAUGGGAGUCACUAUUUCACUAAUCUAUUACACCGCUCUCUAGGGAACAGGACUUGUAAAAUCUAUUUCAUAGGCUUAUAAUUUGCCAAACAACUAGGAUGUUACGAGUAGAAUGAAUCAAAUGCUCCUAUCUAGAUGCAUAUGGAUAAUGAAUGCAACAUGUCAUUUUUUAGAAUGGUUUUGUCUUUUAACACUUAGGUCGAUAUUGCUCAUGGUUCAUCCAAGUUCUAUCACUGAUGCGUUACCACGCCUUCCAUUCAGCUCUGGUAUCUUUGACAGGAAAGCCUAAAAGGUAGUCAUAAUUUGGACUAUUUGUUUUAGGCUCUUUCCAUAUUUCAAAUUUGGUUAUUUCCAACUAGUGGUCCUAUUUUAGGUCCCUGUACUAUUUAGAAAUUUUCUUAGCGAUAUGCAAAAAUCCUUUUAUACUUUAACAUUGUUAGUCCACUAGUCGUUAUUUUAAUGCAAAAAUGCUUCAACAAGGUCGUAAAAGAAAUGGAUAAGACUAAAAUUUAUUGUGAGCAAAUCCCUUAAUGAAAAGAUUAAUCAAAAUGGAAAACAUUGCUAAAAUACAAAGUGAGUAAAAAUGAAACCAAGUGCCCCAGAUAUCGUAGUAUGAGCUUCUCCGAGCAAACUUGCCGAGGAUCAAUCUGAGUCUGAUAUGUGUUUGGGAGAUUCAGAGCACUCUGUUGAUGCCCCUAAGAUGUAAAGUUUUUCCUCCUUAUUCCCUUUGAGGGGAACGACCAUUUCAUGCUUAUUCUUUAAUCAAAAUUUGAGCCGCCCUUUUCGGGUUUUCAACUCAAAACUCUUUUGGUCUCAAGACGCCCUUUGUAGGUUUUCACCUUGGCCUCUCCAUUUUUUUAGGUGAAAUAUUUUUUGACUGAAUCCGAAUUCACAAGACUGGGCAGAUCUUUGCCAUCUAUAUCGGUUAGAAUCAACGCUCCUCUAAAAAAGUAUUUUUUUACCACAUAAGGUCCUUCUCAAUUUGGCAUUCAUUUUCCUCUAAAGUCCUUUUGUAUAAGAAUGAUUGUUUUCAACAUCAAGUCCCCCUCAUGGAAUUCUCUAGGGUGAACCUUUUUGUCAUAAGCUCACAUCAUUCAUUUUUGGUACAUCUGACUAUGACAGAUAGCUUUCAACCUCUUCUGUUCGAUCAAGUUCAACUAAUCAUAUCGAGAUUUGAUCCAUUCUGCUUCAUCUAACUUUAAUUAUAAUAAAAUUCAGAGAGAAAGAAUCUCAACUUCGAUAGGUAAAACAGCCUCCAUUCCAUAAACCAAUGAGAAAUGUGUUGCCCAGGUGGAGGUUCUGAUAGAUGUUCAAUAAGUAUAGAGGGCAAAUGGUAAUUUCUCAUGCCAAUCUUUAUAAGUCUUUGUUAUUUUCCCUACGAUCUUUGUAAUGUUCUUAUUAGCUGCCUCCACUGCACCAUUUAUUUUUGGGCGAUAUGGUGAUGAAUUAUGAUGUUUGAUCUUGAAUUGGCUACAGACCUCUACUAUCAUACUGUUGUUCAAAUUCAAUGUGUUGUCAGAUAUGAUCUUUUUUGGAAUUCCAUACUGACAUAUGAUCUCUUUCUUCAAGAAUUUGCUGACUGCCAACUUUGUGAUAUUAGCAUAAGAAGCGGCUUCUACCCACUUGGUGAAGUAGUCAAUGACCAUGAAGAUGAAUCGAUGCCCAUUGGAAGCCUUUGGCGAGAUUGACCCAAUGACAUCCAUACCCCACAUAAAGAAAGGCCACAAAGAAGUCAUCACAUAGAGAGGUGAAUGAGGCACAUGAAUUUUGUCACCAUAAGUUUGACAUUUAUGACACCUCUUGGCAUAAUGGAUACAAUCCCCUUCUAUGGUGGACCAAUAAUAUUCGGAUCUCAAGAUUUGUUUGGCCAUUGUAAAACUAUUGGCGUAUGUUCCGCAAACGCCUUCAUGGACUUCUUCUAGGAUUUUUUUGGCUUCAACAGCAUCCAUACAUCUCAGUAACACCUAAUCCUUUCUUCUUUUGAAUAGGAUCUCCGUAUCUAGGAUAUACUCAUUAGCCAACCUUCUUAGCGUCCUUUUAUCAUUCUCAGUUGCUUGCUCAGAUAUUUGUGGUUCUUUACAUAUCACAAUAUAUCAUAGUACCAAGGGUAAUCAUCCCUUUCUUCUUCCUCGAUGUUGCAACAAUGGGUUAAGGCCUCAUAAAUGCUCAUCUGGAUAGGUUUUACAUCUUCUUGUUUGUUCACUUUGACCAUGGAGUCUAAGAUAGCCAAAGUAUCAGCCAUCUGAUUUUCAUCUCGUGGGAGUUAGCAGAAGGUAAUGUCAUCAAACUCCUUAAUUAACUCGAGAACUAGCUUUUGAUAAUCAAUCAGCUUGGGAUCUCUCGUCUCUUAUUCACCUCUGAGUUGAUAGAUUACUAGUGCAGAAUCUUUAUAUACCUCCAGCACUUUGAUCUUACGUCCUAUAGCCGCACGGAUACCCAUGAUACACACUUCGUAUUUUGCCAUGUUAUUUGUGCAAUCAAAAUCAAGUUUAGUGGUGAAAGGAUAGUGAUCUCUGUCUGGGGAUACCAAGAAUGCCCAAUUUCGUUACCCAUGGCGUUUGAGGUGCCAUCAAAAUUCAAUUGCUAGGGAUGUUCUUUUGGAGCACCUUUUUCAAUGGUCGCAACAUACAUCAAAUCUUUAUUCGAGAAAUCAAAGUUUAAAGGCUCGUAAUCAUCUAGAGCUCUGCUAGCUAGGAAAUCUGCUAUUGCACUUCCCUUUAUUGUCUUCUGGUUUACAUAGAUUAUAUCAAAUUCGGAGAGUAAAAUUUGUCAUCGAGUCAUUCUUCCAUUCAAUGUGGUCGAGUCCAUCAUGUACUUUAGAGGGUCCAUUUUUGAAAUGAGCCAAAUCUUAUGGUACAACAUUAGUGGUUUAUUUGGGCUAGGUGGCAUCAGCACUAAGGCAUUGGACUAAUAAUGUUUAAUUUUGUCAAAGGUCUUCUGGCAUUCCUCAUCCCAUACACCUAGAUUAUGUUUUUUAACGAGACAAAAUAUGAUGUCACAUUUCUCGGUUAGUUGUGAAACAAACCUAGCAAUGUAAUUUAAUCUCCAUAAGAAACCCCUAACUUCCUUUGGGAUACUUGGCGAUUGUAACUCCUAUAUAGCCUUGACUUUGUAUAGAUCAAUCCCAAUCCCUUUCUCGCUGACUACAAAUCCCAACAAUUUACCCAACGUGGCCUCGAAAGUGCAUUUUCCUGGAUUCAGUUUUAGCUAGAAUUUUCUCAACGUCAAAAAUAGCUUCCUCAAAACUUUCACAUGCUCUUUCUCUAUUUGGGAUUUUGUGAUCAUAUCAUAAACAUAAACCUCAAUUUCUUUGUGCAUCAUAUCAUGGAACAAAGUCACCAUGGCUCUUUGAUAUGUUGCUCCUAUAUUUUUCAGUCCAAAUGGCAUCACUUAUAACAAAAUGUUCCCCACAUUGUUAUAAAUGUGGUUUUCUCCAUAUCUUCAGGAUGCAUCUUUAUCUGGUUGUAUCUAGAGAAACCAUCUAUGAAAGAGAAUAGUGAAUGGCUUGCCGUGUUAUCCAUCAAAGUAUCGAUGUGGGGUAACAGAAAAUUGUUCUUCGGGCUAAAUCCCUCUAAUCUACACACAUUCGCACUUUCUCAUCUUUCUUAUGAACGGGGACUAUAUUGGCUACCCACUUCGAAUAUUUGACCACUUGUAGGAAACCAGUAUCAAACUAUUUCUUGACCUCUUCUUUUAUUUUCAAUUGUAUGUCUGGUUUCAUCCUUCGAAGUUUCUGCUGAACUGGCUUGCAUUCUUCUUUUAUGGGAAGUUGGUGUACCAUGAUAUCAAUACUUAGACUAGACAGAUCUUCAUACGACCAUGCGAAGAUAUCUUUGAAUUCUUGGAGUAACUCAACAAGGUCUUGCCUUGUUUCUGUAGUGAUGCAAGUCCUGAUUUUGAACUCUUUCUUUUCUUGCUCAUUCCAUGAUCUCACAAUUUCCAUUGACUCUUUGUGUGGUAGGACCUAUUUCUUAUCUUGCUCUAGCAUCCUUAACAAAUCAGGAAAUAAAUUACAAUAUCGAUCAUCUUCAAAGUCCUGAUGUUCCUCUGGACAUAUAUCCUACUCAAAAGGAAACUCUGAGUUAACAACAGCAUUGUUCAUAUCAUUGAUAUCUGGAGACCUGUUAUAGGAAUAAAAAGAGACCCAAUGAACAAAUGGAUUUAAGAAUGAUUAACUGUGUGGUAUGAGUACGAAUGAAAUGGAAAAAAAUGCUAGAAUGUUUGCCAAGAGGGGAUAUAAAAAUACAUUGUUUUUAUUGAAAUAAAGAUAAUGGACAUACACAUUUUCACAAAAGGAUCCCUAUUGCUCCCAGGCUUUAGAGCAAUAGGUGUGUUUUGAGUAUUACUCUGAAAUAGUCCUAAAAAUUACAGGAAUCUCCUCCACAGUCUAGUUGUUCAGAAGACUUCCGGUGAUGCAACGAUAAAUUCCUGAUAGAUUUUCUUCUUUAGUUCCCUCUUUAGAGGCACAAACAUAUUACCCCUCUAAACCCUUGAUAUCUUUAAAGAAUUUCAACUCUUUGUCAUCCAUCAAGAUCUAUACUAGAGUUCUGAACUCGGUACACUUUUGGAUUUCAUGACCUCCCACAGCGUGAAACUCACAGUAGUUCUUUACUCCUUUUGGCACCUCCUCUGAAUUUUGAAUGAUCAAACCCACGUCUCUGAAUUUUGAAUGAUCAAACCCACGUCUAUCAUUUUUUGCCAAACCCAUUUUAGAGAGGAUUUAACCUCAGCAACAUCAUUUUUGGUCCUCUUGCCCCCACUCUCGAUUAUCACAUUUGCCCCAACUCUUAUUAUAUAUGCUUAUAGUGUUUACUUCAUUUUCUUUCUUUCUCGGCACAGACCUUUUAGCAUUUUCCUCCUCAUCUAUCUUCCCACUCCUUAUCGCGUUCUUAAUCAUUUCUCCAGACAUAACUAUAUCCGAGAAGCUCUUGAUAGUACUUCCUAGUAUGUGAAUGAUGAACAAGGCUUUCAGAGUAUUAACAAAGAGCAUUGUCAUUUCUUUUUCCAAUAGAGGUGGCUAAACCUGUGUUGCCACAUCUCUUCACCGUUGAACGUAUUGCCUGAGGCUUUCAUUUGGCUUUUUUUCUAUGUUUUACAAUGUAAUUCUAUCUGACAUCAUAUCAGUAACAUGGCUAUACUGUUUCAUGAAGGCCUACGCCAAAUCCUUUCAUGAAUUAAUCCUGGAACGGUUUAACUAAUUUUACCAUUUAGCAGCCAACUCAAUCAAGCUAUCUUGGAAACAAUGGAUUAAUAAUUGAUUGUUGUUGACGUAUCCAGUCAUUCUUUGGCAAAACAUUGUUAUAUGGGCCUCAGGGAAACUAGCCCCAUUGUAUUUUUCAAAUUCUGGGGUUUUGAAUUUUGGUAUGAGCACCAGAUCCAGGACCAAACUCAAUUCCUUAACACCGACACCACAAAGGUAGCCAGUACUCUCCAUAGCUCUGAAUUUCUCCUCCAGUUAAUUACACCUAUCUGCCAACUGUUUUGAAAGUUCUACUAUUACCCUUUUUAUUUCUGUCAUGUCUUCCAAAUCUAGAACAAUGGGGUUGGUUGGAUUAUCUCCGGGGUUAGAACCUGAACCCAUUAGGUAAUUCACCGGUCCUAAGGUGCUAGCCUGGUAUUGUUGUGGUCUUAUGGUAACGGGUACUCUUCGUGGAUAUGUUUCCAGUUGGGCUUGGACGUUUACUAGGGUAAAGCCCAGGAGGUAUGUAGAGUCAUCGUUAUCAUCUCCAGAGUUUACCGCAACACUCUUCCCUUUUUCAAUUCCUUCAGCCAGUAAUUGGGUCAAUUGGCUUCUUAUGUCUCUUUGGGAUUCCAAUAUUUGGUCAUUCAUGUAUUGUUGCACCUUAGCUAAUUGAUCAUGCAACUGCGCUUACAACUGAGCUUGCAUGUCCCUCUGAAUUUGUUCAAGUCUUUCUAACCUCUGAUCCAUGGCUUUAGUUUUACCGCGGGUUGCAGGUGUACACAAUCGCAACAAGUAAUAAAGUGACAAGCAAUGAAAAACACUUUGGUAAAGAAAAAUAUUUUGAUUUGAGGAGGUGAUUAAAAACUAAGAUUUUUAACUAAGUAAAAUAAAUAAAAAUAAAAUGAAAGUUCCAAUGCACAAUUUCGAAAGAUGAUUUUAAUCAAGAUGACAUAAUUGUGUUAGAUUAAUUACAUUUCUUAACUUAGAAUUAUUAAACUCAUGUUUAUGUUGUUACAAAUAAAUUCACGGCAACUCGGUAAUUUGCUAACGUAUGAACAUACUUACCUACCAAAAUCUAUUUAUCUCUUGACAAUAUAUCUAUGUCAUUUCAACUGAUUAAACAAAUUUUAAUAAGAAAAUGUGUUAAUGCACAUACGUACUUAUGAAAUUAAAAUAAUAUCUUGUACAUAUCUCUAUGCCAAUUCAAACAAUUAAUUCAAUCUCAUAAGCACAUAAACGAUUACGUGAGGUAACAAUGUAUUUCUUCCUUGAAAUAAUUUAAUCACAAUAAUCUUGUAAGUUAUGCCAGGCUAAUGUAUCGUUAGAUACCGUUGCUAAUUUAACCCUCAGCUACCUUAGAUGAUUAAACAUGCACUGAUUAAGUAUCGUGUCAAUUAAUUACAAUUUCAAUCCGUUUAAAUAAUUAAUUCAUUAGUUACCUUGUAAUUGUAAUGCAUGAAUAACUUAGUCAUAGUUUUACUUAAUCAAGCAUAUUACCGAGGCCUAUAGCAAUACAAACAUAAUUUUAAUAACUCAAGUAGAUGAAAUGCAAUUGACCUAACACGAAUUAAAUUUAAGCCAUAUUAAUUAAAUUAAACAUACCAACAUCACAAAUAUUCAUAGACAUGUUCAUCAUAACAACAACAAAAUUAAAAGGAUAGGGAACAAGAAUCAAAUUCGGUGUUUCUCUGAGGCUUGACUAGUUUGCUCCACUCCUCCUUCUCCGCUUGUUCUUGUUGAACCGAGGCUUCCAUGAACACUUGAAUACUUCUAUAAAUGGUGGUUGAAGGACUCUUUUUCAAGAGGUGAAAUUGACCAAGGAAUAAGGAAGGAAGUGAAGAACAAUAAAGAGAGAAAAAUGAGAGAGAAGUGAAGAAUUGAUGGUUUUGAUAUGUGUUUGAAAUGAGCAGCCAAGGGGGUAUUUAUAGGUUGAGUAGGCUGCUAAAAUAACAAAAAUCAGCAGCCAUAGAGUCCCCCCAUGGCCGGCCACACAUGAUAAGUGGAGGGGUUUGAAUGCAAAUUCAAGGAGUCUUUAAGGGCUGUUUUGUAAACCAAAUAAUCAGCAAAACAAGCUGAUUGGGCCAACAUGUGGGAUGGUUUUGGGCAGCCUAGUGCUCGGUUGGAUCGAUUUUCUCGGUUCAACUCAACUAAGCCUCUUUUCAUAAUUAAUUAAUAAUAAUUAUUUAACCCAAAAUAUAUUGGAUUAAAAUUAAAAUUAAUUAUAUUAUGAAUUAAUAUUCAUAAUUUGGACUGUCUUCAGUUGAAAAAUUAAUUCACUUUGAUGCUUCAAAAAUUGUUUCUCGGUUUUCCGCUUCUAGCAGUCUCCGCCAAGCUAAUUUUUGCUCUUUAUGCAAAUCUGUCGAAAAUGAUCAAAAUUUAUUAUAAAAUUAAUGAAAAUUUAACAUGUUAAUAAUUUAAGUAAAAUUUAAUUAUUUUAUAAUUAUUAUAUAUUUUUCGACAAGAAUUACAACGAAUUUACAUGAAUUUGAGUUAAAAAGAGCAUAAAAAAUGUGCAUAUUUUCGUGUUUCCAUGGGUACUGUAGCGAUAUUCAGUUGGCAGGUUCUUGGUGGUUUCUAGGGUAACUUUCAUAAUUUUGAUUAAUUAGGGUCUUUUUAUGAAAUUUAAUGCAUAUAAUGAAAUGUAAUGCUAAUUAAUGGAAAAGAUGCAUGCAAAAAAGCACUGAUUCUAGUUUAAUUCCAUUAGAACAACUUUACUAGAAAAUGAGUUUUUUUUACAUAAAAUGAAUACUUCCACUUUAUCAAGAAACCCAUUUUCCAUGACAAACUCUCUUUUAGCAAUUGAACACAAAUCAACACCUUUCCUCUAAGAUGAAAAUGUAAUGCAACCACAGCCGAAACAAAAUGAAACAUGUUAGUACAUUUUGUAUGAAGCUUGAAUACAAAGCAAAAAUAACAAUUAAAAUGUCUCUUCUUUAUAAUCUAUUCGGGUAACCGCUAAAUGUUUGACAUAGUUAUUCCUAGGUUUGACUCUUAGGGUUUAUUACAUGCGGUUUGGUUCUAAAGUAAUGGUACCUGAACAGGUAAAUUCCUCGAUCCUUACCCAUUAUAGGCUCAUACGGAUCGAGUUCAGUUUAGGGGAAUACAUUUUCCUAUGUUUGUACAGAGGUGAAGACCUCACGAAAACAUAGGUACGGAUGUAUCCCGAAAGCGAUCUACUAUCCUAUACAGAGGUGAAGACCUCAUGAAGGAAUAGCUUCUCACUCUCACUUAAGAAGGGUAAAAUGGAAUGAUUAUGCUAUGCAAUAUGUAAAAACAUACAAAGAGGAACUCUCAAACCAAUAAAACAGAUGUAUUAGAUCGUUACAUAACCCGAGAUAACAAAGACAUUAUUUACCAUCAAAAUAAACAUGAAGGAUGAAAUGUAGGGAAGCGAGCGUCAAUUUAAACCGAAUUCAAUUUUCGACAAAAAGACCAAAAGGUAAUCAACUCGCAACUCGACUCUCUAAUAUGGUAUCCUUAGUGGAGUCACCAAGCUGCCGAAACUUUUUUGGAAAUCAAGUUUUUACUUUAAAAAUGAAAAAUAGAGUCGCCACCAAUCCUUUUUAAUUAGGUGUGAUUGGAUCACCUUAAAACUUGGUCAUUUUAAUAAAAUGUUAGAUUUACUAAAAUGAUGAUUUUCAAACUACAAAAUCUAGGAAAUGGGUUCAGGAGUCGGUUACAUAUGAGAAAGGAUUAGCACCCUCAUAAUGCCCAAAAUUGGUACCAAAUUUAUUACUUAAUGUCUUGACAUAAAAAAUUGAGAAUAUGAAGAGAAUUUAAAAUGCGAUCCCUUUCGCGCAAUGUUAUUUGAUGGUAUUGAAAAAAUCUCUAUCUAAAUUGAAUUUUUAACGAGGAGAUCUUCUCAUUUCGGGUCGAUCAAGACGAAAAAUCAUAUCCCGUAAGUUAGGGCACAAAAUCUCGAGUUCUCGAAAAUAAUAACACUCACCUUUUAAUUAUUGCCAAAAUCUUAUAUAUUUAAUUAUUUUUUAAAAAAGAGAGAAGAGACGUUUGAUUAUUUCGGUUCAAGGAAAAAACCGUACCUCAUAAGUUAGGGGCACAAUUUUUUGAAUCCUCAAAGUAAAAAAUAUCGCCUUGGUUCAAAUCAUUUCUUAUGCGUUUGCGAAGAAAAACAGAUGGAUGUAUGUAGCAAUAUUUACAAUGCACGAUGAUGGCAAAAUUAUGACAUUAACAAAAUAACAACAUAAAUAAUAAAAUAAAAUGACAAUAAUAUAAUGAGUACAAUAAAAAGUGAUGAAAUAAAAUAAUAAAAAAUGAUGAAAUAAAAAAAUUCAAUUAAUAAUAUUAUACAAUAAUACUAAUAGUGAAAUAAUAUAAAAAUGUAUGAUAAUAAUAUGAUUAUGUUCAUAAAAUAUUGAUUUUUGAGUGAAUUUUAACAAAAUUAAUAUUAAUUAACAACGAUGAUCACUUAAUAAUAUUAAUAAUAUCAAUAAUUAAGAAUAAAUGACCAAAAUAAAAUAAUCGAGAAAUUUGACGGCAAAAAAUUAAAAAAAACAGCAAGUACAUGGACUGAAUUAAAUGAACAGGGGACUAAAUUGAAACUGUGACAAAACCUCAAGUAUAAAUAAAUAAAAACACUAAAUAAAUGGGUUAAAUAAAAAAACCAAUAAAAUACAGGGACCAAAAAGGUAAAUAACCCCAAAUCAGUACACAUCAUUCACUAAAAGGUCUAUAGUCUGGGGACUGAAUUUAAUAUGUAGCAAAUUUUACAGCAUAAAUCAUAAAAAAAACAAAAAAAAUAAUAUAAAGGAUCAGAUUAAAAUAAAAUGGAAAAGUGCAAGGCCUCAAAAGGAAACUAUCCCAAUCCCACAUCAUUUCCUUGAUUCAAUAGUGGGUCCAAUGAUUGACUUGCAAGGAGAUUAAAAUUAUGGGGUAAAAAUGAAAUAAAUAAAAAAUGAGUAUAGGAUGAAAUUAAAAAAGGGAAAAAAUGGAAGGGUCUAGGAAGUAAUUUUCUUAACCCUUUAAAAAACAUGCAGGUCCUAGGGUCAUUUGGGUCGGAUCUUCGGGUUAUGCUCGAAAAGACGUCAUUUUGGGCAUCUGAAGCCAAUCCCAAAACGACGUUGUUUUAAAGGGCUUAUAUAAGUAAAAAAAUUCUAAAAAAAAAUCAUUUGCAACCUUUUAAAAAAAACUCUCUUUACCCUUUCUCAACUCCCCCUUUCCGAUCGGUCGUGGGAUGGUGGGUCUCCGUCGUGGCCACCAGUCAUCGACAAUGGAGAUUGCCGCCUCCAAUGGCUGGAGAUCGCCAAAAGACCACUUUUUUAACCCUUUCGACUUCCUUAACCCAAAUCCAGGGCUAAAUACCCCUGAAACUUCACUACAAUUCCUAAAAAAGCCCAGGGAACCCUUCGGUUUAUUUCCUCCGACGAACCUCAAGGGGUUCAAAGACCCUCCCAGAUCGGAAGAAGACCUUUCAGUGGUGAUAAAUAGGUAAAUUUCAAACCUUUAUUUUAUUUUUUUCUUAUGUUUUUCGAAAUAAAAAUAGAAAAGAAGAUGAACCUUAGUUUUUUUUAAACCUUGUUUCUAUAUUUUAUAUGCUCUUUACGAAAGAAUAAAAAGAGAAUAAGAAUCAAAAUAGAAGUCUUAAAAAACUACCUUUGUAAUUUGUUUUUUUUUUCUUUAUAUUCUCUGCUAAAUUUCUUAGUAAAAAGGAAAGAAAAAUUACAAAUUGUUCAUUGGCUUUUUAUAGCUGAAAAUACAACAUAUUAUUUUUGUCUUCUUUCUUUCUAUCUCUCUGCUUCUAUUUCUCUAUUUUAUGCAGGUGGUGGCAGCAAGGACGAGGAGGCGGUGUCAUGCCUCAAAGGGCACACCUGCUGACGUGGCGAGGGGAGCGGCGACUGGAGACUUUAGGAGGAGUUAGGGUUUUUGAAUUUUUUUUAAUGUUUGGGGCUUUAGGCUUAGGUAAAUUGGACUUUAGGGUUUUGCAUUUGGGCUUGUAAUGGAUUGGCCUUUUAAUUAAUGGACUAUUUUUUGUUUAUUUAUUUAUGUUUUUAGGUUAUUUUUGGGUCGAAUGAAAAUUGGCCCCUACGUAACCGGUCCCUCUAGACAUGCACACUGUUCCUUUAUCUCCUUCCAUAUCUUUUACCUUUCCAGAGGAAUGGGUGGUAUUCUUAAUUAUUGCUUCCGUGGCAUUGUUUGUUUUGACUUUGAAAUGCGAAGUCAUGCACAAUAUUAACUUGUGCAUUAUAUAUUUCUCAAUAUAACAAUAAGGUAAAUAAUCAUUUUAAUACCAUAAGGAAUUUUAUAUACAUAUGUGUAGACUUACCCAUUAAGCCAACAUAUAUUUCUACAUAUUCAAACACAUUUUGUAAUUUUCCUAACAAUUCAUCAAUAUUAGUUACUUAUUUGAAAUCACGAAAACAAAUCAGAUCAUGAUAGUACAAACUAGACCUGUCCAUGGGUCGGGCCGGGUCGGGUUCAGGCCGGGUCCACAAAAAAUUUUAGCCCGUGUACUAGGCUCGGGCUCAGCCCGGCCCGAAAUAUGGGCUUAAGAUUUUGCUCAGGCCCGGCCCGGAGAAAAAAUAUGGGCCCGAGCCCGGCCCGGCCCGGCCCAUUUUUAAUUAAAAUUAAAAUUAUUUUUUAAAUAAAAUUAAAACUAAUUGUUAUUAAAAUUAAUUGUUAGUAAAAUUAUCAAAUUAUUAAUUGUUAAUUGUAUUAAUUCUUGUAAUAAAAUCUAACAUUUGAUUAGUAAAUUUAUUAAUUGUAUUAAUUGUAUUAAUUGUUGUAAUAAAAUCUAACAUUUGAUUAGUAAAUUUAUCAAAUUAUUAAUUGUAUUAAUUGUAUUAAUUGUUGUAACAAAAUCUAACAUUUGAUUAGUAAAACAAACUUGAUGUUUUAUUAUUAUUAUUUUGUAACGCUAGUCAAGGAAAUGAAAGUAAAUAAACUUAAAAUAAAAAACUAUUACAUUUUAAAAAUAAAAAAUAUAUAUUUAAUUUUUUCGGGCCGGGCCAGGCCAAAAAAAUCUUACCCGAGGCCCGGCCCAUUUUUUAAACGGGCCAAAAAUUUUGCCCAAGCCCAUAUUUCAAGCCUAUAUUUUUACCCAAACCCUCCCAUAUUUCGGGCGAGCCGGGCCAGGCCGCCCGACCCAUGGACAAGUCUAGUACAAACUAGAAUAGCUAGUCUUCAACAAUUUUCUCCUUCCCUUUAUCUUUCAACGAUCUAGCUUUGUCUUUAACUACGUUUGAUAGAUUAAAAUAUAACUACAAAGUUAAAAUCACACAUUCAAUUAAUCACUCAUUCAGUUUGUGCAUGAUAUGCAUUUAUUCAAUUUAUUCCUUAUAAACUCUAAUAUCUGGUGUGCUUGUAUUUCGCGAUUUAUCUAGUCAAAUUUAAAAUCAACUUCAUAAUUAUAGUACAAGGACCUCUUACUAUCAUUAUUUAUUAUCAAACCUUAAAGUUGAUAACCCUUAUGCACGUUUACUUUUCAUCAACCAUGUAAUACCAAUGAGAGGAUAUCAUUUACCCAUGUCUUAGGCUAUGAAUUCCACUGUUGUGAAUGAUGCUACAUACUGCAGAAGUCGUACACCAAACGCACCAACUUUUGGUUCCUUAUCUAUUCAAACUUAGGCUUUUACUUACAUCAAAAUGUAUGAGUCACGCGUACAUAGUUCGUCAUCCACUCAGGAUUUAGGUAUGUCUCACUAUGAACGUCACAAGUGAAUAAAUCCAUAAACAGAUUCAAGAUCUAUUUUUCUUAGGUCCAGUCCGAUAUAUUGUUAGUCUAGUUAGUCACAUCCAUGUCUUUAUCUUUUGUAAGUCAUCCGCUUCGAUGCCCAAGAUAAAACAUUUCGCCAAUUAGACUUCAUAGACGACAUAUUAGUCUUUUAAUCAGUUUGCUCAUUUCCGAUUAGAUUAAGGACAUGUUUAGGUUCAUUUACUAAUAUAAGUUAUCUUUCUAUAUUACGAUCUGACCACGUAAUACUGCUUAAUAUUAGUUAAACAUUAGAUAACCAGUAUUUUGUUAAAUUCAUGUUCAUUAUAACGUUAUUUUUUAGUUACAUGAAUACCGACUUUUUUUUUUUAAAUGUGACAUCAACAAAAUUGAUAUAAGAAAAUUAACAAUGUUAACAAUUUGGCUUGAUUUUCAAAUCUGAAAAGUAGAGAGACUAAAUUCUUGAAAAUAAAAGUACAGGGACUAAAUUUCAAAUUUGUGAAAAGUACAUAGACUUAUGACAUAUUUUAUCCUUUAUACUACAAAACAUUUAUUAUUAAUAUAUUUAUAAUUGUAAUAAAUAUUUAUCAUUAAAAUAAAACUGAAAUAUUAAGUCAUUUAUUAAAAUAAAAAAUUAUAUUAAUAAUUUAUUAUAUGAUUAAAUAUAGAUAAUUAAAAAUGUAUGUUUAAUAAUAUUGAAAAUUAUAAUAUUUUAUAUGGGAAUAAAUUAUAUUAGGAUGAUCCUAACAAAUAUAGUUUUUAGGCACAAAUAAAAUAGUGACACGUCACAAAAUUUUAAAGAUAACAAAGUAUUAUUAUAUAUUCAUUUAUAUCUAAUAUCUUCUCCAACUUAAUUUAAAUUUAAUUGAAUUACUUAAAAUAAUUAAUUUUUAAAUUAUAAACAAAUAUCUUUACUUCUUUUGCAAAUUUUAAUCAUUUAGUAUUUUUUCUCCCAUAAGCUAAUAUUUUUUUAUUUUUGUGCAACCAAUUUUAAAAAAAUUAGUAAUUUUUGUGCAAUUUCUUUCAUGUCUUUAACACAUAAUUUUAGUAAUUAUUUUACCCUGAACCCCGAACCCAAAAUCCUAAACCUUGAACUCGAAUCAUGAAUCCUAAACCGUAAAUCCAAAACCUAAAACCCAAACCCUAAAUCUUAAACCAUAAACUUUAAAUCUAGAAUCUCAUUGACUAAGCUAUUUUCUAUGAAACAGAUACAAGAAAAUGCAGAAAACGUUUUCCAAAAACCAUUUUCAAUGAAAUAUACAGAGUCUAAAUGAAAAUAAUGAGACAAUGUCCCAGGUUAAAUCGACUAAUAAAUCUUUCGCCAUUUCAAUUAUUGGUGUUUAUUAAUAAUUGGAUACCCUUUUCCUAGUUGAGUGAAUUUACGAGUUUUAUUUAAAAUAAAUAUUCAACAUUUUUGUGGACACCAAAAAAUAUUGAAAAUCAUUUUAUUUUGAAAUUCAUGUUAUUAUAUGUGAAAAAUUCAAGGGAUUAUAAUUAAAUAUUAGGUAUUACAUUUUUAAAUUUCAAAAUUUAAUUUAUAAUUUCUAUUCAUGUUUUAGGUAGAGUUAAUUUUUUUAAAUAUUGGUCAGCUUUCAGCUAAAGAGAACUCAAGGGAUGAUUUUAAGCUAAAGAGAACUCAAGGGAUGAUUUUAAUCUAUAAUUUCUAUUUGCAUUUUAAGUUGAGUUAAUUUUUUUUAAAAAUAAAUUAUAAACUAAAAAUUUAAAAGUUACAAGUUUCUAUACUUUCAUAUAUUUGAAAUUUAGUUCUCAUACUUUUAUUUAUAAGAAUUUAAUCCAUUUACCUUUUAAAUUUAAAAAUUCAGAUUUAGUUGUUAACACCAUUAACAUUUUUCUGUUAAAUUUUUAUGACAUUUUGAACAUUUUUUAGAAAAAUAUAAUAGAACCUAAAUAACUAAAUUUAAUGAUUUUAAAAAUUCUUAAAAUUCACAUAAAUAUUGUAACUAGAAUAAAAUAUUUAGAGUCACUAAUAACAUUAUAAAAGUUAAGGUACAAAAUUAUAUAUUGUAAAACUAUAAAGUUUAAAUCUCAAAUUUGAGCAUAGUAUAUAGAGACCAAAACUAAAAUUUGAAAAAUAUAAAUUAGUAGAUAGCAGCAAGUAGGAUCGUAUCCACAUAGACCGGUGUUAAUUUUAAUUCUUUAAAAGUAAAAAUAAAGGGGGGUUAGAAUUGAAAACUAAAACAAAGUAAAAAGAGAUCAUAAAAGAAAAGAAAAAAAAUCAAUAGUAAAAAAUUCUAGUCAAAGGUAAAAUUUCUGCUUGAUUCGUGGAUUUGAUCAUUGACGAAAAUAUAACUUCAAUGCUUUUAAUAAAUUAGUUCUAGUUGCUAACUCAGUGUCAGACAAACAAUCUCUCCUUACCUGUUUGGUAACCAAGAGAUAGUUCAUUUGAAUUUACUUCAUUAACCGACAAAUAAUCUUGCAAUUUAGCGUUCAAGAUUUAACUUACCGACAAUAUUAAUAAUGAGAGAGACCUAAUUCUAACCAACAAACUCACAUUAGUGGAAUUCAUUUAAGUUAGAUUGCACAUCCACACCACAAACAUAAGCUACGACUUAAACGAACUAUGCAAUUGGUCACUAGUAUUAAAAUAAAUUAAACAAUUAAAGAUUUAACUAAUCUAAUUGAUAAGGCAACUGAUCGCAGCCGCAUCUAUCUCUCUUUUCUAAAUGUUCAACAAAUAAGUCUAACAACAAUGAAAAUCUAAUGAGAUAAACAAAUCAAAUAACAAAUUAAAACAGUCUCACCAAAAUUUCAAAGUCACUCCCUUGAACUAUCGUUGAAAAUUUUCUUUUAUUACACCCGCUUUCAAAGAAAAAAAAUGAGUGAAGCGGGUAAAACGACAUUUAGGAUGUCAAAUAAAGAGUACAAUAUCAAAUAUAAUUUUUUUAAAAAUACCAAAAUAGCUUUUAACAUAUGAGUUUGGCUGUCCACUCCACCAAAAAAAAAAUAUUCAAACCGAGAGGGCCUCUGUUGACACGAAAGCACCACCCUGUGCAGGGGUGCGGACGUACAGGCGUGCAAUCGUGCGUCAAGGCACCAAAACAAGCAAGAGGGCGUCAGGCAAGACUGAGACUCGAAUUCUAGGGCGUCAAAAUUCGCACGCUAGGGGGCUACCCACCAACGCGGGGGCACCAAUGUAUCGAGCGUGCGUUAGGGUCUUGGGGGGAAAUGCGGGAAGGAUGCACGGGAUGUGGGAGCAAAUGGGAGGUUGGGCAUGCAGGGGAAGUGGAAAGAGAAUGGGGGAACGUGGGUUGGUUUUUCUCUUUUUAGUUCAAAACUUAUUAUUAAUAUUAUUAUAAACAACUAUAUGUAUAUAAAUAUGAAUAUGAUUUUUUUUUGAAAAAAUAUUAAAUAAGAAAAAACCUUUUUUUGUCCCGUUCAAUUUUCUAGACUUCGUUGAAUGCCUGAUUCGCUCCUCUGACUUGAUUUUACACACCAAAAAUACUAAAAAAAAUUAAAAACGAAAAGACUUGAAAUAAAAUACAAAUAAAUAAUGCAAAUGAGAUAAAAUUAAAGUGCUAUGUAAACUAUAGAUACAUUAUACAUGCAAAACAAUGAAAACGAAAACUAAUAAAAAUAAAAAUAAAACUAAAACUAAAAAUAAAAUAAUAUAUAUUUAACCACGAAGUUGUCUCUCUGUAAACGCCUUUAUUUAACGUCUUUAGUUAGACAUUCUUAAAUGUUAUUUCACCAUCGAAAGACUCGAAUAAUGUCAUGACUUUUAAAGUCGAAAAUUAGACAUAAAUUGGAAGUUGAGUCAACUUUCAAGUGUUGAUUCCCUUUUGGUUCAUUAACCAACCAUUUCCAAACCUAAUUAUAAUUUUAAUAUAGUAAAAGUACGUGAUUGGGUUGAAGGGAUGAUAGUUAUUUGAUGUAACCUGAAGUGUAAAAUGUCUAAAAAUAAAUCAAAUAUUAAAAUUAAAAUAUUAAAAUCAAUGUUGUAAUAUUAGUUAUAACCCUAGAAUUUAUCAAGAGUGCCCUCUUGAGUAUUGCCGAAUAAAGUAUUUUCGUGACAGGAAUGAAGUGAAACAAUGAAAAUCUAAAAGAAUUUUAGGAUGCGUUUUGACACAACAGAGUAAUUGGAUGAAAAUGUCAAUGUUAUUGUAGUAAUUAUACCCUCUUGUAAUUACAAGAAAAUGUAAUUUAUUUAAUAGGUUUGGUUGACUGAGUAUAAUUACAUUGUAGUUCUUCAUGUCGUGUUUGAUAGUAAAAAUUGCAUUUACAAGUUACAUAAUUUAACUUUUUUUAAAUAUUAAUUAUUAUAAAAAGUUACUUGAGGAAAAAAAUUCUAAAUAAGUAACAAAAAUUAAAAUAAAAUCAUUGUAUUCAAUAUGUUAAUCCAAGAAAAUAAUUGACAAUAGGAUUUCUAAUAAAAUAAUAAGAUAAAUCAACAUAAUGUGCAAUUUUAUCUAAUUGCUCUAACAUUUCAUAUUUGUUAAGUUAUUCCCUCUCUAACAUUUAACAUAUACUCCUUAUCAUUACUUAUUGGUCCUUCAUCAAUUUCUUCCUCAUCGGAAUCAGAAUUUGUGUCAUUAAUAUUAUCAAGAUUUUCUUUUUCCAUGUACUCUUUAAAGUAUUAAUCAUCUCAAUUUCACCUACGAAUGGAAGUUAUGAAAUAUGCAACAUGUUAACACGAUCCAAUCUUACUUUUUUUCAUACUAUACUAAGGUAGCAGUGUUAAUAUGAGAAAUCAUUUUUUAGAACAAUAAACGUCUUCUCAUCCACAUUUCGAAGUUUUGAAUAUCUGGAAUUAAAAAGUUUGUGAGUUGUCUUUGAUGUGCUAAUGUCUAAUUUUAUUCUCUCAAAUAAUAUCGUACCUCAUAAUAUGAUGCAAAAAAAUCUUUUGUAUUUACAUCAUCAAUAUCUACUAUAUAAUAUUUUUCUACAAAUAAUAACAUAUAACAAUUUGAAUAAUUUAUUAAAAAAUGAAAUAAAAUAAAUGAAAAGUGAUGAUAAUAUUAAUGAAUUACCAUAUGUAAUUAACCUAUUUUGAGAUGCCUCUCAAUAUUUAUUAGAGCUUUUGUAAACUUAAUUUGUAGUUUACUUACGAAAGCUAUUUUAAUAGCAAAUCAACUUUAUAAAUUUUUUUUAUAUAAAAAAGGUUCUUAUAACUUUUAUAACACUUAUAGGACGGAUUAUUGAGGUAAAAACAGGAACAGCAGAGGCAAGAAACUUGGCUCACUGGGAACUCUGGAUGCUUGCCGAAAGAAUUUCAGCCCUCUUUUGGAACACUUGCAUCUCCCUUCUUGCAUUACGGUGGAUAUUCAAGUAGGAAAAAUAUGUGCCCUUGGCCUACAUCAUCAUUAUGUUUAUAUCAUUGGAUAUUCAAGUUCGGUCCCUGUGGUUUCACCAUCACAGUGCAUAUUCUCUUAACGGAAUCGGUAAAAACUUUGUGAUUAUCAAUUGGGGUCAACGACUAGCUUGUACCUAAUACCAGACCCAAUGGCGAGGGGACGAAAGGACCAACCACAAAAGUAGGAAUCACUGGUCCAUGAAGCUAUGAACCCUGUACCUUCCCGUCACACAAAUGAUUCCUUUUCCCCCUUUCCAUCUCUAUAUUAUAUUUCUGCCUUAAAAAGUACUAUCUAUAAGGGUAUUUGCAUCAGAUAUUAAUACCCAAAUUUGAAAUAUUCCCUUCAUUUGGUUCCAUCAACUGAAUAUAUUCCUCUAUAAUAAAAAGAAAAGUAAUUACAGGCAGAGUGAUGGGUUCACAGCACGAGCAAGAAACUGCAUACAAUUAUCUCCAAAACAAACUAGCAUGUAUGAAGUCCAUGAAAAUACAUCCAUUCAAACAUGAAAAAUGCAGAAAAAUACAUUUAAAUUUUCAUGUAAUUGGAGCAAAAGAAUCCUAUAAUCUUCAAAAGAAGUAUUGCAUCAGCAUCAUCUAUUGAUUGAAUUGUAUCAGGCCCCCUUUGUCCCUGCAAUGAAACAAUGAGUUAACAUCAUUCCUACAGAUUCCAUACCGUGUUUAUGCUUACUAGAGAAGGCCUUUCUCCUUGCAGCUUUUAAUAGCUCCACCAUACAUAUCCUCAACCCCAUACUUGAAUCUGAAACCCAAAUCCAAGAGCUUCUUUGAUGACAAACCAGGCAAUUUAGCACCUCCAAUUCCUUCCAGGGUGCUGCAUGACAAGGAUUAAAAGCUUUUCUUUUACUCCAAAAAUUAACAUAACAUGAGCUGUAAUUAGAAUAAAAAUAAAAAUUCUACUCACUCUACAAUUGGGAAUUCUGGAUGGGUAGUUGAAAGAAUUUCAACUAUCUUUGGAGCAGUAACCGUAUCAGAGGAACAAUUAUACCUUCCUUUUGCCUCAGGAUGCUCAAGCAGGAAGAUGAAUGCCCUUGCCAAAUCAUCCAUAUGCACCAUUGCAAGAUUGAGAAGAAGAUUAUUGUUUUUCCUACUCCCUGAACAGAUAAUCAAUAGGAUAAACUACAUCUGUAUGUUAAAUUGAUUCAUGGUAAGUAAGAAAAACAAGUUCAACAUAUACCUAGGAUGGGAGACAAUGCGGUGCGCACUGGACCAUGCAUCUUGGGACAGAUGAAGGGACCCAGAACCAUAGGAGGAAUGAUGGAAACCAAAUCCAAUCCAUGUUGUGCUGCAAAUUCAAGAACUGCUUUUUCUGUCGAAGUCUUGGUAAUGGCAUAAGAACUCACAUAUGACUUAACUUCUGAUCGAAUGUAAUCCACAUCACUCCAAUAACUCUCGUCCAUAAUCUCCACAUUCUUGAUCUUGUUGAAAUAUACGGCGGUAAUACUAGAGGUGUAUACAACUUUCUUCACUGUGUUUGAUCUCAAGCAUGUCUUCAAGAUGCCUAAUGUUCCAUCGAUUAACCUUUGGGUCACAACUGCUUCGGGUUCGUUGUCCUGGAAAUCCAUGGGAGCAGCAACAUGGAAAACUCCUUUGCA
rnacentral:lncRNA from 1 species